AACGAACGCUGGCGGCGUGCCUAACACAUGCAAGUCGAACGUGAUUGAGAGCUUGCUCUCAUGAAAGUGGCGCACGGGUGAGUAACGCGUAGAUAAUCUACCUGGUGAUCCGGGAUAACACCUCGAAAGGGGUGCUAAUACCUGAUAAGCCCACGGGGUCUUCGGACUCUGCGGGAAAAGGGGGGGACCUUUAGGCCUUCCGUCCUCAGAUGAGUCUGCGUACCAUUAGCUAGUUGGUAGGGUAAAGGCCUACCAAGGCGACGAUGAUUAGCUGGUGGUGGCGGAUGAGCAGCCACACGGGAGCUGGGAGACGAUCCAGACUCCUACGGGAGGCAGCAGUGGGGAAUUUUGCGCAAUGGGGGAAACCCUGACGCAGCAACGCCGCGUGAGUGAUGAAGGCCCUUGGGUCGUAAAGCUCUGACAGAGGGAAAGAAGUGCAGGGGAGCUAAUAUCUCCUUUGCUUGACGGUACCCUCAAAGGAAGCACCGGCUAACUCCGUGCCAGCCGCCGCGGUAACA
rnacentral:rRNA from 1 species